CCUCUUCGUUGCUCACUUCGGUAAGCACGCCCAUAUUCAGGCUGUGCGCGACGGCGGAGAGCUGGCGAUACUGUUCGUCAUCCAGCACGGAGAGCA
rnacentral:tRNA from 1 species